UAUGUGAUCGUCUCUCGCAUAUCAAUAAGCGGAGGAAAAGAAACUAACAAGGAUUCCCCUAGUAACGGCGAGUGAAGCGGGAAGAGCUCAAAUUUGAAAUCUUAAAGGGUUUCCCUUUACGAAUUGUAGUUUAAAGAAGUGUUUUCUGUUGAGGUUUUGGUAAAAGUUCUUUGGAAUAGGACAUCAUAGAGGGUGAGAAUCCCGUAUUUGACCUUUACUUUCAACUUUGUGAUACACUUUCAAAGAGUCGGAUUGUUUGGGAAUGCAGUCCAAAAUGGGUGGUAAAUUUCAUCUAAAGCUAAAUAUUGGCGAGAGACCGAUAGCGAACAAGUAUCGUGAGGGAAAAAUGAAAAGAACUUUGAAAAGAGAGUUAAACAGUACGUGAAAUUGUCAAAAGGGAAGCGUUUGACACCAGUGUUGUUUUUCUGAAAAUCAAUUAAAGAACUGUUUAUGCUAAGUUGUUUAGACUUUAUCAGCUAACUGUUUAGUUUUGAGCUUUUCUUUAAUGCACUUUUCAGUUAACAAGUCAACAUCAAUUUCUUUUGCUGUAAAAAAGCUUGAGGAAGGUGGCUUGAGAUUCGUCUUAAGUGUUUAUAGCCUCUUGCCUAUGCAGUCGGAGAGAUUGAGGUCUGCAGCGUAGAUCCUUCGGGGCUAAAUGCAUUUGUGCUAAGUUAUAGCAUUUUAUAGACAACUUGUUGACUAUGAUUUGUCUUGUAGCUUACUCGCUUAUGUUAUUUUACCUACGCUUAGGAUGUUGAAGAUAUGCGCGACACG
rnacentral:rRNA from 1 species